AGAGUUUGAUCCUGGCUCAGGACGAACGCUGGCGGCGUGCCUAAUACAUGCAAGUAGAACGCUGAAGAGAGGAGCUUGCUCUUCUUGGAUGAGUUGCGAACGGGUGAGUAACGCGUAGGUAACCUGCCUUGUAGCGGGGGAUAACUAUUGGAAACGAUAGCUAAUACCGCAUAACAAUGGAUGACACAUGUCAUUUAUUUGAAAGGGGCAAUUGCUCCACUACAAGAUGGACCUGCGUUGUAUUAGCUAGUAGGUGAGGUAACGGCUCACCUAGGCGACGAUACAUAGCCGACCUGAGAGGGUGAUCGGCCACACUGGGACUGAGACACGGCCCAGACUCCUACGGGAGGCAGCAGUAGGGAAUCUUCGGCAAUGGGGGCAACCCUGACCGAGCAACGCCGCGUGAGUGAAGAAGGUUUUCGGAUCGUAAAGCUCUGUUGUAAGUCAAGAACGAGUGUGAGAGUGGAAAGUUCACACUGUGACGGUAGCUUACCAGAAAGGGACGGCUAACUACGUGCCAGCAGCCGCGGUAAUACGUAGGUCCCGAGCGUUGUCCGGAUUUAUUGGGCGUAAAGCGAGCGCAGGCGGUUUGAUAAGUCUGAAGUUAAAGGCUGUGGCUCAACCAUAGUUCGCUUUGGAAACUGUCAAACUUGAGUGCAGAAGGGGAGAGUGGAAUUCCAUGUGUAGCGGUGAAAUGCGUAGAUAUAUGGAGGAACACCGGUGGCGAAAGCGGCUCUCUGGUCUGUAACUGACGCUGAGGCUCGAAAGCGUGGGUAGCGAACAGGAUUAGAUACCCUGGUAGUCCACGCCGUAAACGAUGAGUGCUAGGUGUUGGAUCCUUUCCGGGAUUCAGUGCCGCAGCUAACGCAUUAAGCACUCCGCCUGGGGAGUACGACCGCAAGGUUGAAACUCAAAGGAAUUGACGGGGGCCCGCACAAGCGGUGGAGCAUGUGGUUUAAUUCGAAGCAACGCGAAGAACCUUACCAGGUCUUGACAUCCCGAUGCUAUUUCUAGAGAUAGAAAGUUACUUCGGUACAUCGGUGACAGGUGGUGCAUGGUUGUCGUCAGCUCGUGUCGUGAGAUGUUGGGUUAAGUCCCGCAACGAGCGCAACCCCUAUUGUUAGUUGCCAUCAUUCAGUUGGGCACUCUAGCGAGACUGCCGGUAAUAAACCGGAGGAAGGUGGGGAUGACGUCAAAUCAUCAUGCCCCUUAUGACCUGGGCUACACACGUGCUACAAUGGUUGGUACAACGAGUUGCGAGUCGGUGACGGCAAGCUAAUCUCUUAAAGCCAAUCUCAGUUCGGAUUGUAGGCUGCAACUCGCCUACAUGAAGUCGGAAUCGCUAGUAAUCGCGGAUCAGCACGCCGCGGUGAAUACGUUCCCGGGCCUUGUACACACCGCCCGUCACACCACGAGAGUUUGUAACACCCGAAGUCGGUGAGGUAACCUUUUGGAGCCAGCCGCCUAAGGUGGGAUAGAUGAUUGGGGUGAAGUCGUAACAAGGUAGCCGUAUCGGAAGGUGCGGCUG
rnacentral:rRNA from 1 species